rnacentral:rRNA from 1 species
GAAAAGCUCUGGGGGCAAGACGGAGUCCGUACCAAAACCGACACAGGUAGGUGUGGUGAAUAACCUAAGGCGCUCGAGAGAACCGUUGUGAAGGAAUUAGGCAAAUUGACCCCGUACGUUCGCAAUAAGGGGGCCCUCCUCGCAAGAGAGGGCGCAGAGAAAAGGCUCUGGCGACUGUUUAUCAAAAACACAGCACUGUGCGAACUCGUAAGAGGAUGUAUACAGUGUGACGCUUGCCCAAUGCCGGAAUGUCACGRAAGCAGGUUAGCUUCGGCGAAGCUUGUGACCUAAGCACCGGUCAAUCACGGCCGUA